GAUGAACGCUGGCGGCGUGCCUAAUACAUGCAAGUCGAGCGAACAGACGAGGCGCUUGUUCCUCUGACGUUAGCGGCGGACGGGUGAGUAACACGUGGAUAACCUCCCUAUCAUACUGGUAUCACUUCGGGAAACCGGCGCUAAUCCCGUAUAAUAUCUUGCAGCGUAUUGUUCAUUAGUGAAAUUCGGUUUUUCUGUCUCUUAUCGCUGGAUCCGCGCCGCAUUAGCUAGUUGGUACGGUAACGGCUUACCACGGCGACGAUGCGUAGCCGACCUGAGAGGGGGAUCGCCCACACGAGAGCUGGGACACGGUCAAGACGCCUACGGGAGGCAGCAGUAGGGAAUGUGACGCAGUGGGCGAAAGCAUGACGGAGCAACGCGGCGUGAGUGAUGAAGGUCUUCGGAUCGUAAUACUCGGUUAUGAGGGAAGAACAAAUGUGUAAGUAACUAUGCACGGCUUGACGGUACCUAAUCAGAAAGCAACGGCUAACUACGUG
rnacentral:rRNA from 1 species